AAGUCGUAACAAGGUUUCCGUAGGUGAACCUGCGGAAGGAUCAUUAUUGAAUGAACUUAGAGUCGGUUGUCGCUGGCUGUCUUUUGCAGCAUGUGCACGCCUUCUCUUUUCAUCCACACACACCCCUGUGCACUUGUGAGACUGGAGGCCGUAAAAAAGCCUUCAGUCUGCUAAAUUCAUAUACAAACUCAUUUAAUUGAACUGAAUGUACUUGAUGUAACGCAUCAUUGAACUAAGUUUCAACAACGGAUCUCUUGGCUCUC
rnacentral:misc_RNA from 1 species